rfam:Salmo salar isolate Sally breed double haploid chromosome ssa16, whole genome shotgun sequence.
UUUCAAUUAACUUGUAAGUCGCUCUGGAUAAGAGCGUCUGCUAAAUGACUUAAA